AGGUGGGGAUGACGUCAAGUCAUCAUGGCCCUUACGACCAGGGCUACACACGUGCUACAAUGGCAUAUACAAAGAGAAGCGACCUCGCGAGAGCAAGCGGACCUCAUAAAGUAUGUCGUAGUCCGGAUUGGAGUCUGCAACUCGACUCCAUGAAGUCGGAAUCGCUAGUAAUCGUAGAUCAGAAUGCUACGGUGAAUACGUUCCCGGGCCUUGUACACACCGCCCGUCACACCAUGGGAGUGGGUUGCAAAAGAAGUAGGUAGCUUAACCUUCGGGAGGGCGCUUACCACUUUGUGAUUCAUGACUGGGGUGAAGUCGUAACAAGGUAACCGUAGGGGAACCUGCGGUUGGAUCACCUCCUUACCUUAAAGAA
rnacentral:rRNA from 1 species